rnacentral:rRNA from 1 species
GACGAACGCUGACGGCGUGCCUAAUACAUGCAAGUAGGACGCAGUUGCGAACGGGUGAUUAAGGCGUAGGUAAAUGCCUAUUAGAGGGGGAUAACUAUUGGACAAGCUAGCUAAUACCGCAUACUCGUAGAUGGACCUGCGUUGUAUUAGCUAGGAGGUAGGGUAAUGGCCUACAUAGGCGACGAUACAUAGCCGACCUGGGAUGGUGAUCGGCCCCACUGGGACUGAGACACGGCCCAGACUCCUCAGGGAGGCAGAAGUAGGGAAUCUUCGGAAAUGUGGGGAACCCUGACCGAGCAACGCCGCGUGAGUGAAGAAGGUUUUCGGAGCGUAAAUCUCUGUUGGUAAGGAAGCGGUACUUAACCAGAAAGGGACGGCUAACUACGUGCCAGCAGCCGCGGUAAUUC